rnacentral:rRNA from 1 species
UACGAAGGGGGCUAGCGUUGUUCGGAAUUACUGGGCGUAAAGCGCGCGCAGGCGGUCUUCCAAGUCAGUGGUGAAAGCCCGGAGCUCAACUCCGGAACUGCCAUUGAAACUGUAAGACUUGAGGAUGAGAGAGGUGAGUGGAAUUCCCAGUGUAGAGGUGAAAUUCGUAGAUAUUGGGAAGAACACCGGUGGCGAAGGCGGAUCUCUGGGCCAUAACUGACGCUGAGGAGCGAAAGCAUGGGGAGCGAACAGG